CGCAGGUGUGUCUUUUGAAAGAAGGCUGUCAUAUGUCAAUGGUCAUACCUCAUGUUUGUUUAGCACUCGGCUGAGGGACGAGAGGCUGGGUUUGGCUUCCAACACACUGCAUGCUCUGACCAAAGCUGUUAUUGUGGCCUUCAUCCACAAUUGGCAACUCACCCUCCUCAUCAUGGCAUGUGUGCACUUACCUCUCUGAGGCCUACUUCACUGAAAUGAGGGCAGCGGGGACACUACUGUGAGGACCAGGAGGUUGGAAAGAGCAGAUGUCCGUCUGCACUGUGAGCUGCCAAGUGGGUCCGGAGCGGGGCAGCCACAGACACAAGGGCCCAAAUGGUGUGACAAAAGAUGUGCAGGAAGCCCCUCUCCGCCUGGGUGAGCCACAGCGAGGGUCUCCCCUCUCUGCCAGCCUGCAUGGACACUCACAACAUGAGCCAGAGUGGUGGCAGCAAAGCCAUGUGUUGCCGGCUGGGAUGCAUGGUACACCAACACUCAUAUUCAUGCAAACAUAAAUACACAUGCAUAAUGUAGGAAUGUGCGAACAUAGGCCAAUCCCAUCCUCCGCUGCCAUUAGUGCACACUCACACCUGCACAUUGCACUCAGCCGAAAGCAUACACACAUUCAUGCUUUUUUUAAAUCCUUCAUAUAGAUAGCCAGUCAGCUAUUUUCAACGGCCACUUUUAUUUUUCAAAUGAGCUGCUGACAAUGAUGCAAAAUUUGGUGACAUGAAUGUUAAUGAUGUAAAUAUAGCAGAAAAACAGUAAACAAACAUAAAUAACCAUAUCUAUCCAUCUAUCUAUGUCAGUAUCGUAUCUAACUUGGAGACAGUUUGCCAUUUUUCCUUUUGAGGUCAUGAAAUGUAGGUGAAGAGGCCCUGAAAAUGUUCCAAGGACAGGUGUGCAGCAUGGCCUGUACUGAACGGAUGCA